rnacentral:rRNA from 1 species
GACGAACGCUGGCGGCGUGCUUAACACAUGCGAGUCGAACGGAAAGGCCCCUUUGGGGGUACUCGAGUGGCGAACGGGUGAGUAACACGUGAGUAACCUGCCCUUGACUUCGGGAUAACUUCAGGAAACUGGGGCUAAUACCGGAUAGGAAUCCUUGCUGCAUGGUGGGGGUUGGAAAGCUUCGGCGGUUUUGGAUGGACUCACGGCUUAUCAGCUUGUUGGUGGGGUAGUGGCUUACCAAGGCUUUGACGGGUAGCCGGCCUGAGAGGGCGACCGGCCACAUUGGGACUGAGAUACGGCCCAGACUCCUACGGGAGGCAGCAGUGGGGAAUAUUGCACAAGGGGCGGAAGCCUGAUGCAGCAACGCCGCGUGCGGGAUGACGGCCUUCGGGUUGUAAACCGCUUUCAGCAGGGGCGAAGCUUGUGGUGACGGUACCUGCAGAAGAAGCACCGGCUAACUACGUG